rnacentral:rRNA from 1 species
UAAUUGGAGAGUUUGAUCCUGGCUCAGGACGAACGCUGGCGGCAUGCCUAAUACAUGCAAGUCGAGCGGAGUUUGAGAGGAAGCUUGCUUCCUUUCAAACUUAGCGGCGGACGGGUGAGUAACACGUAGGCAACCUGCCCUCAAGCCUGGGAUAACUACCGGAAACGGUAGCUAAUACCGGAUAAUUUCUUUCUUCUCCUGAAGAGAGAAUGAAAGGUGGAGCAAUCUGCUGCUUGGGGAUGGGCCUGCGGCGCAUUAGCUAGUUGGUGGGGUAACGGCCCACCAAGGCGACGAUGCGUAGCCGACCUGAGAGGGUGAACGGCCACACUGGGACUGAGACACGGCCCAGACUCCUACGGGAGGCAGCAGUAGGGAAUCUUCCGCAAUGGGCGCAAGCCUGACGGAGCAAUGCCGCGUGAGUGAUGAAGGUUUUCGGAUCGUAAAGCUCUGUUGCCAGGGAAGAACGUCCGGUAGAGUAACUGCUGCCGGAGUGACGGUACCUGAGAAGAAAGCCCCGGCUAACUACGUGCCAGCAGCCGCGGUAAUACGUAGGGGGCAAGCGUUGUCCGGAAUUAUUGGG